AUUUUUUUUUGAGUCCGAUAAGAUUUUUGAGUUUUGACUCGAUGCUGACAAUAACUGCGCUUAAAUAUUUUGGGCCGGUGAUUUGGGCCCAACGAGUUAUUGUUGCUGACGGGUCAGGUCGUUGCAAUUGGUAUCAGAGCCGAAUACCAGCCGGACGUGUGAGAACUAAGUCCUAUGCAGGACAAAGUGCUACACUAGAAUCUCACAUCGUCUGGUAAUGGUUCUGGUCUGUCUGUCUGUGAUCUGAUUGGGACCCGAUGGUAAUGGUCCGAAUCUGUCUGUCUGUGAUCUUGUUGGGACCCGACGAUGACGUUAGGGUCUAAACAGUGGGAGUUUGUAACUCAACACUGAAUUUUUUAAAGUUUUUUGAGAAAAAUAUAGUAAUAUUUUUUUAACUUGGUUUUAAGUUACAAAAGAGGUAGUAGGGUGCAAAGAAAGAAAUUAAGGAUAAUGAGAUUAGG
rnacentral:lncRNA from 1 species